AAAACACUCAACAAAAGGAAGGAAGGGAACUUUCUUGCAUGGUAAAGGACAUCUGCAAAAAAAAAAAAAAAAUCAGUUUAUUUCAUACUUAAUAGUAAAAGACUGCUUUUGCCUUAAGAUCAGCAACAAAACAAGGAUGUAUAUUCUCACCACCUCUAUUCAACAUUGUACUAGAGGUUCUUGCCAUGAAAAUUAGCCAAGUAAAAGAAAUAAAUGGCAUCCAGAUUGAAAAGUAGGAAGUAGGCCGGGCGCGGUGGCUCAAACCUGUAAUCCCAGCACUUUGGGAGGCCGAGACGGGCGGAUCACGAGGUCAGGAGAUCGAGACCAUCCUGGCUAACAUGGUGAAACCCCGUCUCUACUAAAACAAAUACAAAAAACGCUCUUUCCAGCCAGCGCCGAGCGAUGGGCAUUUCUCGGGACAACUGGCACAAGCGCCGCAAAACCGGGGGCAAGAGAAAGUCCUACCACAAGAAGCGGAAGUAUGAGUUGGGGCGCCCGGCUGCCAACACCAAGAUUGGCCCCCACUGCAUCCACACAGUCCGUGUGCGGGGAGGUAACAAGAAAUACCGUGCCCUGAAGCUGGACGUAGGGAAUUUCUCCUGGGGCUCAGAGUGUUGUACUUGUAAAACAAGGAUCAUCGAUGUUGUCUACAAUGCAUCUAAUAAUGAGCUGGUCCGUACCAAGACUCUGGUGAAGAAUUGCAUCGUGCUCAUCGACAGCACACCGUACCGACAGUGGUACGAGUCCCACUACGUGCUGCCCCUGGGCCGCAAGAAGGGAGCCAAGCUGACUCCUGAGGAAGAAGAGAUUUUAAACAAAAAACGAUCUAAAAAAAUUCAGAAGAAAUAUGAUGAAAGGAAAAACAAUGCCAAAAUCAGCAGUCUCCUGGAGGAGCAGUUCCAGCAGGGCAAGCUUCUUGCAUGCAUUGCUUCCAGGCCGGGACAGUGUGGCUGAGCAGAUGGCUAUGUGCUAGAGGGCAAAGAGUUGGAGUUCUAUCUUAGGAAAAUCAAGGCCCGGAAAGGCAAAUAAAUCCUCGUUUUGUCUUCACCCGUGUAAUAAAGGUGUUUAUUGUUCUGUUCAAAAAAAAAAAAAAAA